UUCAAUCAUUAAAAUGUAAUAAAUACCGUGUGAUAUUAAGAAUGUAACUCUUUGGGUUGUUAAAUGCUGAGUUUAAUGGGUCACGUGAUCUGAGUUUAAUUGAGAGAGGGAAUGUUGAAUUGUGGGUAAGGUGUUAUGGAUGCAGAGGAAGGACGUGCAGCAACGAAGCACAACUUCUGAAGCGACAUUUUCUGCAUAAGGUUCAAAGGGCACACACGGAAAUUCUUGCUGCAGCAAUGAAGGGGUCCCAGUGAGCCAGAGCCUAACCAAGUAACACA